rnacentral:lncRNA from 1 species
CUCUCAACCCCAGUUAUUUUUAGAUAAAUUCACUGAGAAUUAGUCAAUAAGACCCAAUGGCAGAUUAAUACUCCAAAAAUGUUUGUAACUCUUCAGAGUACACAUAGUAUACAUUAAUAUAGAAGAUUUAGAUUAUGAAAUAAAAUUAGACAUGAUAUGGAGCAGCUGCAGCUUACCGAGGACAUGAUCCUAGAUAGGAAGGCGUGGAGGUUGCGGAU